rnacentral:rRNA from 1 species
UACUAGGUUUUUGUGAAAACAGCAUAUCAAUAAGCGGAGGAAAAGAAACCAACAGGGAUUGCCUCAGUAACGGCGAGUGAAGCGGCAACAGCUCAAAUUUGAAAUCUGGCCCUAGGCCCGAGUUGUAAUUUGCAGAGGAUGCUUCCGGUGCGGCGCCGUCCAAGUCCCCUGGAACGGGGUGCCACAGAGGGUGAGAGCCCCGUCGGGUCGGCCGCCAAGCCUAUGUGAAGCUCCUUCGACGAGUCGAGUAGUUUGGGAAUGCUGCUCUAAAUGGGAGGUAGACCCCUUCUAAAGCUAAAUAUUGGCCAGAGACCGAUAGCGCACAAGUAGAGUGAUCGAAAGAUGAAAAGCACUUUGAAAAGAGGGUUAAACAGUACGUGAAAUUGUUGAAAGGGAAGCGCUUGUGACCAGACGUGCGCCGGGUGUUCAGCGGGCGUUCUCGCCCGUCUAUUCGCCCUGGCGCAGGCCAGCGUCGGUUCGGAUGGGUGGACAAAGGCACCAGGAACGUGGCUCCCUCGGGAGUGUUAUAGCCUGGUACGUCAUGCCCCCGUCCGGACCGAGGUUCGCGCUCUGCAAGGACGCUGGCGUAAUGGUCCCCAGCGGCCCGUCUUGAAACACGGACCAAGGAGUCGAGGUUUUGUGCGAGUGUCUGGGUGUCAAACCCGCACGCAUAAUGAAAGUGAACGCAGGUGGGAGCUUCGGCGCACCACCGACCGAUCCUGAAGUUUUCGGAUGGAUUUGAGUAAGAGCAUAGGGCCUCGGACCCGAAAGAUGGUGAACUAUACUUGGAUAGGGUGAAGCCAGAGGAAACUCUGGUGGAGGCUCGCAGCGGUUCUGACGUGCAAAUCGAUCGUCAAAUCUGAGUAUGGGGCGAAAGACUAAUCGAAACCAUCUAGUAGCUGGUUACCGCCGAUCU